rnacentral:rRNA from 1 species
GACGAACGCUGGCGGCGUGCUUAACACAUGCAAGUCGAACGGAAAGGCUCCAGCUUGCUGGAGUACUCGAGUGGCGAACGGGUGAGUAACACGUGGGUAAUCUGCCCUGCACUCUGGGAUAAGCCUGGGAAACUGGGUCUAAUACUGGAUAUGACCUUUCUCCUUAUGGGGUUUGGUGGAAAGUUUUUCGGUGUAGGAUGAGCCCGCGGCCUAUCAGCUUGUUGGUGGGGUGAUGGCCUACCAAGGCGACGACGGGUAGCCGGCCUGAGAGGGUGAUCGGGGGAAUUGGGACGGAGAGAGGGCCCAGACGCGUGCGGGAGGGAGCAGGGGGGGAUAGUGGAAAAGGGGCGGAAGUCUGAUGCAGCAACGCCGGGUGGGGGGUGGCGGGCGUCGGGUUGUAAGACGAUGUCGCUCAGGAAGAAGAUGUGUGGGACGGUAGUGGGUAAAGAAGCACCGGCUAAAUACGUG